GUUACUCUUAAAUAAGAGUCACAUCAUAAUUAGAUUGCGGAAGCCUAAUAAAUCAAGGUUUUCAAAUCGCUUAGGGCGAUUAAAAUAGUGGGGAAAUAGUUUCAUUCCCCACCAAAACCCCACCAAGAUUAAAUCUUGGUGGGGUUUGUUUA
rnacentral:sRNA from 1 species